UAGCUGUCCAGUUUUCCCAGCACCAUUUAUUGAAGAGACUGUCUUCCCUCCAUUGUAUAGUCUUGCCUCCUUUGUCAUAUGUUAAGUGCUUUGACUAUAGAUUGACUCUGAAAGUUGGAGAUCAGUAACUCGUGUUUGCAUUACUGUCCUUCCAGCUGCAAGUCUUGGGCUCUCUCUGUCCUAAAUGAUUCAGCACCUCCUUCCAUUCUAAUACUGUAACUCAAAUAUUUUUGGAAAGAACUAAGAUGUAAAUCAUAAAUAAAAUCCUGUUUGUUCUAUUAAUGUAUUACUAACCCUAUGCUUUAAAUUUGUCAAUAUCAAUAUCUUUUUAUCUAUCAUCUUCUCAUCCUAGACUGUAGUUCUCCAGGGGCAGCGAUUGUGUCCGGCACCCCCUCCCUCUUUGUCGCAGGCUUUUUGCCAAGCAGUUUAUUAAUAACGUUUGUGCCGUGGCUGAUAAAGGAGGGUGAGGAACAUGAUGAUAGCAGGGUUUGAAUCUCAGCCCUUUUCUAAUGGGAUAAAUGAGACACUCUUUGGCUGGGAAUUUACAGCCUAGGCUGAAAGGACUUCUUUCAGAGAGGCAUCAUUUCUUACUGCCCUUCCCAGGGGUAGAUGAAAUUAAGCAGGUGUCCUCCAGGCCAGCUUCUGCCAUCCACUGCAGUCCAGAGGUACAGGACGCGGUUACAGCUCUCUGGCCACAGUCCGGCACUGUUCCCUUAAGGAUCCCCUGGUAGGGGACUUGCGAUUAUAAUGUUGGCCACUGGUGGGAGCUUUCUCCACCCGCAGCCACUCUGAUACAGAUAAGAUCAUGCUCUGUGUAGAGUUCUGUAACUUCCUCUUCUCACUCAGUAAUGCAUCUUGGACCCCAUUCUGUGUCAGUGAGUGUAUAGCAAGUGGUGGUUGUUUAGAUUGUUACAACUCUUGGCAAUUGUAAACAUAAUUGAGCUGAUCGUUAUGGUCCCUACAUUGCUUGGAUUGGAGCUGCUUAUAACCCACUCUUCGCCUGCCUGUAGGAGAGAGGUUGUCCCCUUCUCACAAGGAGAACUGGCUGUGAAACUGGGCAAUGGAUUAUGGGGCAGUGUUCCAGAGGUUUCCCUUACCAUGCAGAAGACACUUGAAUGUCAAGGACUCUCCCUCCAUCUGAAGUCCUUUUCUGCAGGAGUCAAGACUGCCAGACCAAGGUAAAACUCUCCUGCUGAUAGAAACUUACAGAUUGGGUCAGAAACACAACAUUCAAUUAGAAGCUGGUAAUAGGAGACCCACAAGAAACAAGUAACACCACAAGGUUUACGACAAAGGAGACGCAAUAUUUGCUUGAGUCUAAGACACGUGUUAGAAGUACAGCUAGAACGAUGCAUUUCUGCCUGGACAGAUGUUACUAUCCUGUCUCCAGCUCCAGGUAAUAAGAGUCCUACAGAGUGUACUUAGAAGGAAAACUACGAGCAAUAUUUCCAUGAGGUCUUUUUCUCCAUCCUCAUUUCGCCAUAAACUUCUAACACGACAUUAAGGAUUCUAGCCUCCUCCCUGGUCUGUGAUUCCUGUUUCUUUCCACUCGAGUCUGUUACCAGUGCAUUUUCCGCAGGGCAUGUAGCCCUCACGUACCUACCAUCUGCUCUCCAUUCCCUAUCCCCUGAGUGCUGAAGCUACUUAUUAGGUAAUGAGGACCCCAGGUUGAAGCCUUUUCUGCUCCAUAGAGCGACAGCCCAGUGCUGGAGAAAGACACCUAAAAUAAAUACAUUGGUUUGAUUCCACGAUGGUCAGAGAACAUACUUUGUAUGAUUGCACUUAUUUUGCCAUUGUCAAGGUUAGUCGAAUGACGUGUUGGCGUGGACAUCCUUUGCUCCCGUCUCCAGUGUUCCUGCUACACUCCCAUCCUCUGGACAUCUGGUAGUUGCUGGCGCUGUUGGCACGGUCCACUCUCAUUCUUUUGAACUCCACGUGGAUUUCCAGGCACAAGUCCCUUGAACAGACACUCUUCGGCUAUAUCAUUGGCCAGGUGGUGCGCCUGGCAAACACGUGACCAUAGAGAAUGGGUACCCUCACUCCACUGGGGCAGCUCUGUGAUGUCCUGAGGCAGAUGGAGGCCCAAGCUGUCCAGAUGCUGAGACUGGGGCUAGGAAGGGGCUUUCUGGGCCUGCCCUGUCUAGAGGCUGACAUCAGGUUCUGCAGUCCUAGGAGGGUACCUCCUGGGAGCUGCCAUUGCUCGGAAUCCUGAGACCUCCUCCCUUCCAAGCCGGUGACCGGUCUGACUGGGAGAUGGGAAUUUCACUGACUACAGUCCCAUUUGGCCUUCUGGCGCCGCAACGCAGGACCUUCUCUUGUGUUUCAUUCCUGUCCGUGUUACACCUGACAGAGGAGUUGAACCUGGUGGGAGCUGAAUUGUCCCGAGAAAGGGCCAGAGGUCUACCUGGUGGAGGGGAUGGCCCAGGAAGGAAGAGGGACCCUCGGAGGUGUGAGCAGAAGUGGCAAUAACUUAUCCCUUGUUACAGGAUUGUGGGGACUGGUAAAAGUAAGGGGAGCUAAGGUUUGAUUUAAAAAUCUCUUGCUUUGGGACUUCCCUGGUGGUCCAGUGGGUAAGACGCUGCGCUCCCAAUGCAGGGGGCCCAGAUUCGAGCCCUGGU